GUGACGGCGGAGGUAACGUGAUUCGCUCCACGAAAGAACGUUGCACGUGAGGCCAGUAUACCUGCCCCAACCUUUGCCUUCCCCCUCCCUCCUCAGAAGUCACGACUACAUCAAUGUGAGCCUUUUUUGAAAUACGGACCCAUAAACCACAAUGUGAGUGAAUAUUUUUCGUAUAUGAGCGUGCAACUUCCUGUGUGAAUGGCUAAACAAUUUGAACUUCAUGCUGCCACAGUGAGUACAUCGAAGUGUCGUUUACGUCUGGAGUCAUAGCAUUUCAACACGCUUAUGUUUGCCAAGUCACCUCCAUUUUCAUCACUAUUGAAAAUAGAAAGCUUGCUAUCCCCCUGCAGCUGUGCACACCCAUCUUCCACUCCCCUCCCCAGCUCCCCCAGACCUGCCCCUCUCCCGGGACACGUGGCACGUUGUUGGUAAAAUCUCCCCUUUUUCCUUUAGCUCUUUCCUUCACCUGUUGCUCUAAUGAAAACCCAGGUCUCUCCCAGGACGUGACAUCCCUUGCUGACCUCACAAGUGGUAGCUGGUUUCCCUUGCUCGUCACUGGGCCUGGAGGUGGGCCAGGUGCCCUCCUACUCGCUGUCACAUGCACACAGCGGUCCCUGCUUUCCUCCUAAGAUACUGGAGUUGAGAAGCGCGUAUCAUCCCUCUUGCCUGCGUCCGUCUCCAGACUUCCCUGGGUAACUCCCCACUAGAAGAGAUUAGACCCUGGUUCUUGUCACUGUCCAGCACAAGGCGCUUGAUGAUGUCAAUAUCCUUAGAGAAGGGCCUGCCAACACUGGCCUCCCAGCUCCCUGACCUGCCCCCCGACCUUGUUAUCACCAACGGUCUCCGUUUCCAGCACUCCACUCCCAACCCCCUCCAACUUGCCAUCUCACUUCCUCUAGUAGACAGACUCCAUCAACUCUUUGACGCCACCAUGCAUGCUUCUAUUCCAGUGAUCUUACCCCAUGUCCUAAC